UGAGGGUGAAGGUGAGGAAGACAUAAGUCGUCCAGCCUUGCCCAAUUUAAUUUCAGACCAAAGGAAAAAUAUCAAUUGAGAUAAAAACCAACUAGCAACCGUGCGCAACAAGUGGUAGAUACGUGAGUCUCUUAACCAUUUAAUUAGUAAAUGAUUUGAUAGUCAAUCAUUUUGUUUGGUUGAAUCGAAAGGGAUGAGAGGUAUGAUAAAUCAAAAUAUGUUUGGCUAAAUAGAGG
rnacentral:lncRNA from 1 species